GUCCUAAUUUGCUAAAUCGACUGUUUUUUUUUUUGUCCUAAUUUGCUCACGAUGGAGCUGCAGAAGUAGCCCCAUACAAUUACCUGUCGGACAAACAACGAUCAGACCAGCUCUUCGAUUCCUUCGGUUUGCUUUCCUUCCUGAUCAGGCGAAGUAGACGACCCAAAUCGAAGGGGAAGGCCCGCAAGAGAACGGCACUCUCCUCUUCCUUUGAACCAAUCAACCACCGGUUCCUUUCCCCCUUCGCACAUCACCAUCAGGGCAGGAAGAGGGCUUCACGGCUUCUUCUAACCUUCAUUUCUUCGGCCUCGUCGAUCCCAGAGACAAUCUCUUCGCGAAUCGAUCGACCGAAUGCGAUCCUUCGCACCCCCUUAUGCCGCCUCCUGCCUCGCCUUCGAUCUUGUGGUUUUCGCCAUCGGACCGCCUCGCUGCCAACGACGUGCAGAAACACGUGAGGGAGUCGUCGGAGAUUGGAGUUCUCCUCUCCUCCUCACGAGGGACCGAACGUCACCACCAAAUCGCUGCGUUCGUGCUUCCUUUAUUUUUCCUCUCUGUGUUCGUCGCCUUCAUUCAUUCUUCCCUAUACCCGAUCAAAACAAAAGAGACGGGGCAAUAGCCCUAAUUUCUUUAAAGUUUGAACCAUUAAACAAAAAUGAUCCCUCUAUGAGAAUUCUUUUCAUAAAAACCCUAAUCCCUUUUAAAUUUCUUUAAAAAAAAUGACAAAAUGAACCCUCAUUUGACAAAGCAUUAAGAAAUCAGUCCCAAACCCUAAAGUGUUUCAAAGUUCAAGAAUGUUUAUUUUACGGUUAUUCACCAAAAGGCUUCACCAAAACGAACCAGGAUCGAGAUCACGCAUCGAAUCUUGUAUCAAAUAGAAUCAAGAUCAUGGUAAAUGUUUGGUGCUCUAUGACUGCUAAAGAAGACAUUGUUUAUCUGCCAAACCUUCAAAAAGGUAAGUCUCUUUCUCUCUCUCUCUCUCAAUGGAAAUUAGUUUCAAGCUACUAAUAAUUUGAAUCGGUCAUUUUAUUUUCUUUCUUUGAUGAAAAUAAUAUGUUGUUUACACGGGAACAAGUUCAUAAUGCUUUGAAGUGGCAUAUAAUUUUGACAUAUCAAUAAGGCAACGACUUCUUGAGAUGAUGCAUAAUUGUGGGUAUAUGUUGGAGGAGGAAAAGAUGUGAUUAAUAGUAAGAGAUAUAGUGGUAUUGUAGUGAUAUGUAGAUGCAAUAAAGAGGUCUAUUGUUCCAAGUAAGAUUCUAUAUUCUAUUUUCUUUUGACAAACAAUAUGUUUUCAAAAUUGUGCUUAUUGUGUUAAGGAUAUUCAGUGCAAUGUAGCCUCCAAUUAAUCAUGUAUAUUGCUAAUCUUUGCAUUUACCACUA